rnacentral:ncRNA from 1 species
CAUUAAAAUGCACAUGAAGAACUUAAGUGUAAUCGUGGUAUGUUUUUUUUCGCUUGCCCUGUUUAUUACUACGCCGCGCGCAGGGAGCAGAGCAAACGAUGGAUCAAUGCCCCACCGAAUCCCAGAGCUAAUACAUGCAACAAACCCCGACUUCCGGGAGGGGCGCAUUUAUUAGAUAAAAGGCUGACGUGGGCUCUGUCCGCUGAUCCGAUGGUUCAUGAUAACUCGACAGAUCGUACGGCCCUCAUGCCGGUGACGCAUCAUUCAAAUUUCUGCCCUAUCAACUUUCGAUGGUAGGAUAGGGGGCCUACUGUGGUGGUGAGGGGUGACGGGUGACAGAGAAUUAAGGUUCAAUUCCGGAGAGGGAGCCUGAGAAAUGGCUACCACAUCCAAGGAAGGCAG